ensembl:piRNA 21ur-8541 ncRNA
UGUUAUAGAUCCAUCAAUUUC